CUAACAUAUGUGCGAGUAUGCGGGCUGUAACCCUGUAUGCACAAUGAAAGUGAGAGUAGGGAGAGGUUUGCUUAUGGUAUUCCUCGCACCUACGACCGACCACGAUCUUUGUGAGAGGUUUGAGUUGUAGCACAUCUGUUAG
rfam:Eimeria maxima Weybridge genomic scaffold, Emw_scaff14